rnacentral:rRNA from 1 species
AGGAAAAGAAACUAACAAGGAUUCCCCUAGUAGCGGCGAGCGAAGCGGGAAGAGCUCAAAUUUAUAAUCUGGCACCUUCGGUGUCCGAGUUGUAAUCUCUAGAAAUGUUUUCCGCGUUGGACCGCACACAAGUCUGUUGGAAUACAGCGGCAUAGUGGUGAGACCCCCGUAUAUGGUGCGGACGCCCAGCGCUUUGUGAUACAUUUUCGAAGAGUCGAGUUGUUUGGGAAUGCAGCUCAAAUUGGGUGGUAAAUUCCAUCUAAAGCUAAAUAUUGGCGAGAGACCGAUAGCGAACAAGUACCGUGAGGGAAAGAUGAAAAGCACUUUGGAAAGAGAGUUAACAGUACGUGAAAUUGUUGGAAGGGAAACGCUUGAAGUCAGACUUGCUUGCCGAGCAAUCGGUUUGCAGGCCAGCAUCAGUUUUCCGGGAUGGAUAAUGGUAGAGAGAAGGUAGCAGUUUCGGCUGUGUUAUAGCUCUCUGCUGGAUACAUCUUGGGGGACUGAGGAACGCCAGUGUGCCUUUGGCGGGGGUUUCGACCUCUUCACACUUAGGAUGCUGGUGGAAUGGCUUUAAACGACCCGUCUUG